AUGAAUCAACAAGCUAAUAAGGAGGAUACUCUGAAUGUACGAAGUUCCAUCGAAAAAAAGGUGGAAACGGUCAAUCAUCAAUCUUCCGCAGGGCAUGGACAAGAAGAGAGGAAAGUGCAGGUCAUUCAUGAACCCCAUUCCAAAACCAGUGGUGGUGUUCUUACCGGUGCUGCUGAUGCCGUGGCGUCCACUCUACAAUCUGCUAAGGAUGCAAUUUCAAAAAAAUAA